UGAUGCGAAUGCUAUUUUAUCAUGAAUGAUCCUGAAAAGGAUAUGCAUAUGCGAGUUAACUUUUUUUCAUUUUUUUUUUCAUGCAUUAUUAUUUUUUUGAAAAUAAACAUGCUAUGAUGCAAAUGAUGCAACAUGACUGGUCAAGCUGUGCGUCUCAAGGCACAGGGUCAAUGCUUCGGCUUGAACUCUGAUCACAAACAUCUGAAACCCAAAGUCAAUCUGAUCAACUGGCGUCUGAACCCAAAUCUGGAGAACCGAGUCACCAUAAAUCCGACUUGUGGAGUUCCGAAAUAAACGGAACUGGAGAUUGCAUUACUAUC
rnacentral:lncRNA from 1 species